UACGUAGGUGACAAGCGUUGUCCGGAUUUACUGGGCGUAAAGAGCGCGCAGGCGGUCGUUCAAGUCGAGUGUGAAAGCCCCCGGCUCAACUGGGGAGGGUCAUUCGAUACUGAUCGACUCGAAGGCAGGAGAGGGUAGUGGAAUUCCCGGUGUAGUGGUGAAAUGCGUAGAUAUCGGGAGGAACACCAGUGGCGAAGGCGACUACCUGGCCUGUUCUUGACGCUGAGGCGCGAAAGCCAGGGGAGCAAACGGG
rnacentral:rRNA from 1 species